CUACGUAGGGGGCGAGCGUUGUCCGGAAUGAUUGGGCGUAAAGGGCGCGUAGGCGGCCCGGUAAGUCUGGAGUGAAAGUCCUGUUUUUAAGAUGGGAAUUGCUUUGGAUACUGUCGGGCUUGAGUGCAGGAGAGGUAAGUGGAAUUCCCAGUGUAGCGGUGAAAUGCGUAGAGAUUGGGAGGAACACCAGUGGCGAAGGCGACUUACUGGAUAGUAACGGACGCCGAGACGCGAAAGUGUGGUGAGCAAACAGGAUUAGAUACCCCGGUAGUCCACACGGUAAACAAUGAAUGCUAGGUGUAGGAGGUAUCGACCCCCUCUGUGCCGCAGUCAACACAAAAAGCAAUCCGCCUGGGGAGUACGGCCGCAAGGGGGAAACUCAAAGGAAUUGACGGGG
rnacentral:rRNA from 1 species